rnacentral:rRNA from 1 species
CCUACGGGUUGCACCAGUGGGGAAUAUUGCACAAUGGGCGCAAGCCUGAUGCAGCCAUGCCGCGUGUAUGAAGAAGGCCUUCGGGUUGUAUAGUACUUUCAGCGAGGAGGAAGGCGAUAAGGUUAAUAACCUUGUCGAUUGACGUUACCCGCAGAAGAAGCACCGGCUAACUCCGUGCCAGCAGCCGCGGUAAUACGGAGGGUGCAAGCGUUAAUCGGAAUUACUGGGCGUAAAGCGCACGCAGGCGGUCUGUCAAGUCGGAUGUGAAAUCCCCGGGCUCAACCUGGGAACUGCAUUCGAAACUGGCAGGCUAGAGUCUUGUAGAGGGGGGUAGAAUUCCAGGUGUAGCGGUGAAAUGCGUAGAGAUCUGGAGGAAUACCGGUGGCGAAGGCGGCCCCCUGGACAAAGGCUGACGCUCAGGUGCGAAAGCGUGGGGAGCAAACAGGAUUAGAUACCCUCGUAGUC